rnacentral:lncRNA from 1 species
GGGAUGAUCAUCCUUUAGUGGCGGGAAGCUGGAAAAUGAGGGACUGUGGGCUGUGAGGAGAGAGAAAGAGGCUUGAGAAACCAGAAACCAUCAUUUGCAUCCAAGAAACUGUGCUCUCCAUGGCUUCCUCAAGAUGAGCAAACAAGAGUGAUACAGAUUUUUCUGAGAUGGACAGUGCCUCUCACUGACCCCGCCCCCAGUAUCCUACGACCAAGGAAAAGAAUCUCAUGUGUCAUUUCUGUGGGCCACGGUAGUUAAGGAAACUCCAUGUAUUUUCAUCUGGAGCCUCACAGCAACCCUGACAAGUGGCUAAGUGGGGACAAUGUGAAGCUCGGCUGCCCUUCCCCAAGGCCCUGGUCUUGACAGUCCUCAGGGGCUGGAGGCCCCCCUCAUCCAUGUCCCCACAAGAUUUCUGUCCAUGGCACCCAAGGACCCACUCAAAUGGUCUUGAAUGGACCUGAGGAAGACUGGCGAGUUAUUGGUUUUAUAAGCACAGUUGUGUCCGUUUACAUCUACCAGAAGGUACAGGGAUAUGGCGAGAGUGAGAAGACGUGACACCUGUUAAUACAAACUCUCCCCUUUAACUUGUCUUUCCAGAGAACACAGAAUGGGAGACACCGCUAAAACAGGCCACGUUAGCACUAGAACUGAUAAACUGAGAGCUAGGUUCUAGAUAGAAAAGUUACGAUGAAACAUCCUCAUCAUUGUCAACAGAUGAAUAUCUAAACCUCAGCUUUGAUGUCCUCUGCCAAAUGGAUUGGAUGAUGCCUGCCCUUGCCACUCCACGGGGUCUUUGGGGAUGAACUGAGCUACAAUGGCGAGGGAGCGGGUGGGAUACUAACUGGCCCUUCCCCUAGAUAGGAGGCCAUCAAGUGCAGAGCCAGAGACCGGCCCUGGGCCUCCGCAGGCUCCCCCGGAGCCAAAGAGAGGCCAAACCGAAGCGCCCUGCCCAAGGCCGCCCUAACGCGACUCUGGCCGCUCCUGCCUAGCAGAUACCGGCUGGUGCCCUCGCUUCGGAUGCAAGAUCCCAGCUCUGCUGCAGCUUUCGAGCCGGAGGGACAAUCGAAAUGAUCAAAAAU